CCGCGAGAGGGGAGGGGCCCGCGCGCGCCUCCAGCCCCAGCCCCAGCCCCUACCUUCCUUCACUCCUGGCAGCUUGGACUGGUCAAUGCUGACCUCGGCCAUGUCGGGCCAGGGUCCUGGCUGCCCCUGGCCGCCCACUUCCCAGCCGCGCGGGCACCGAGCUGGCCCGGAGCUCACCAGCAGCGCCUAACGCGGCGCAAAGUCUGGCGGGCACAGUGCGCCGGCCGGGAGCCCGAGCCGGCCGGCCGGCAGACAGGGGUUGACGACAAAGACUGCGACGGCGGCCCAGCUGCCCCGCCGCAGCCACCUGCUCCGCGCCCCGCGGCCCUGAUCGAUACCAAAUACCAGGAGCCCGGAAAUGGACCCGGGAGGUCCAGUACGGAGGGAGAGAGGAGACAGAAAGGCGGGCAGGCGGGCGAGCGGGCGGGCGGGCCUGGGUGGGGAAGGGGGAGGGGAUCUGCAGGUCUGUAACUGCAAUAGCGAGUAGCUGGCGAGAGAAGAUCGGCUCCCGCCGCCGCCUCCAGUUGUCUCCUUUGUGCUCAGCUAAGCGCCUGAGGCUGGGGCCCUGCUGUGUCCUGGUCCCAGAGCCCUGCCCCGCCUCCUGCGGGAAGGUCGUGUCUUUAAGGUGGGGGCUUGAUAUUCUGAAGGC
rnacentral:lncRNA from 1 species